AUGGCUCAGGAUGAACGCUAGCUACAGGCUUAACACAUGCAAGUCGAGGGGCAGCAGAUCGAUGGCUUGCUAUUGAUGCUGGCGACCGGCGCGACGGGUGAGUAACGCGUAUCCAACCUUCCCUAUAGUAGAGGAUAGCCCGGCGAAAGUCGGAUUAAUACUCUAUGUUUUCCAAUGCAGACAUCUAAGUUGGAACAAAGGUUCACCGCUAUAGGAUGGGGAUGCGUCUGAUUAGGUUGUUGGCGGGGUAACGGCCCACCAAGCCUACGAUCAGUAGGGGUUCUGAGAGGAAGGUCCCCCACAUUGGAACUGAGACACGGUCCAAACUCCUACGGGAGGCAGCAGUGAGGAAUAUUGGUCAAUGGGCGAGAGCCUGAACCAGCCAAGUAAGCGUGCAGGAUGGCGGCCCUAUGGGUUGUAAACUGCUUUUAUACGGGGAUAAAGUGAGGGACGUGUCCCUUUUUGUAGGUACCGUAUGAAUAAGGACCGGCUAAUUCCGUGCCAGCAGCAGC
rnacentral:rRNA from 1 species